UGGGGAAUAUUGCACAAUGGGGGAAACCCUGAUGCAGCGACGCCGCGUGAGCGAUGAAGUAUUUCGGUAUGUAAAGCUCUAUCAGCAGGGAAGAAAAUGACGGUACCUGACUAAGAAGCCCCGGCUAACUACGUGCCAGCAGCCGCGGUAAUACGUAGGGGGCAAGCGUUAUCCGGAUUUACUGGGUGUAAAGGGAGCGUAGACGGAGCAGCAAGUCUGAUGUGAAAGGCAGGGGCUCAACCCCUGGACUGCAUUGGAAACUGUUGAUCUUGAGUACCGGAGGGGUAAGCGGAAUUCCUAGUGUAGCGGUGAAAUGCGUAGAUAUCAGGAGGAACACCGGCGGCGAAGGCGGCCUGCUGGACUGAAACUGACGUUGAGGCUCGAAAGCGUGGGGAGCAAACAGGAUUAGAUACC
rnacentral:rRNA from 1 species